rnacentral:lncRNA from 1 species
CGCCGUCCUCACCAACCAUUGAACCUCACCAACCAUUGAAUGGAGGAGGAGAAUUUGGAAAUGGCAAUUGUUUUUCACCACCUACCAUCACCAUUCUUUGCUAUAAAAGAGGGAGCUCUCUACCCUUGAAAUUAUAACACAAAAUACUACAAGUGCAGUAGUAAUAGAGAGAAAAAAUUAGAGAGUUGAAUGGGAGAGAAGAGCCGAAGCUCUUGAGUGCAAGGUUCUGCAAUUCUGGAAAUUCCAGAAAUUGCAAUCUAGGGUAACUUAGAAAGUGAUUUCAAUUUAACUUUCUCAGCUAUUUCUGGAGAAGUUUCUCCCCAUCACUCAGAGAGAGGCCUAUCGGAGGUAGUUUGAGCAUCUCCAGUAGGGUUUUAUGACCGUUACUCAGUAUGAGACCAGAUUCAUUGACUUGGCCUAUCAUGCUCUUAUCAUAUUUCCAACAGAUCUACACCCGGAAAAGAAAGAAUAAUUAACAAAUGAAGUUAGUGAAGUUAAGAACUUUUGAUGGCGAACAUGAAUUGAAAUAAACAAUUAACACUGUUUUGUUUCGGAAAAGAGGAGAGCAGGGGAAGGGGGAGAAGUGAUAAUAUAUUAGUAAGUAAAAUGAAGUGGCAUGUACCUUCAUUUCCUUUUGCUAGCUGAUUUUGGGAUUUUUCAACGAAGUUGGAAAUGGAAAUUGAUUGAACUUGAAAUGUAUGACACAUUGGAAUUAUAUAAGUAGUAGAUAAAUGAGGGAGUGCCGCCGUGGAUGGAGGGAGGUAGGACAGUAAAUAACGUGGAGGGAGGGCCAGUUAGGUAGAAAGUUCAACUGCAUCACAAAAUGUGAUAGUACUAAAGAUGGCCCUCUCAGCUGUUGGCGUUGUUUUUUUUUUAAGAUUGCAAAUCUUUAAGUAAUUUUCUUCUUUGGAAAAUAUAAAACCUCCCAAUUUCAUCCUUACAUAAUUGUUGAUUGUAAUGAUCCAAAAGGUUAUCACUUAUUUUGGAAACAAAUUCAGUAUUUUGAGGCGUCAAAACCUUACUUUUACCUUACCUUGAUUUACGUGCGUGGUCCGGACUUAUAUUCAAAAAGCCUUAUAUGUGAA